AUACGGAGGAUGCAAGCGUUAUCCGGAUUUAUUGGGUUUAAAGGGUGCGUAGGCGGUUUGCUAAGCGGGAGGUGAAAUGCCGGCGCUCAACGUCGGAAGUGCCUCCCGAACUGGUGGACUGGAAUGACUCUGCCGUGGGAGGAAUGUGUAGUGUAGCGGUGAAAUGCUUAGAGAUUACACAGAACACCGAUUGCGAAGGCAUCUCACGAAGGGUUGAUUGACGCUGAGGCACGAAAGCGUGGGGAUCAAACGGGAUUAGAUACCCUGGUAGUCCACGCAGUAAACGAUGAUGGCUAACCGCUGGUUUAUUCGGAUCAGUGGCCAAGCGAAAGCGAUAAGCCAUCCACCUGGGGAGUACGACCGCAAGGUUGAAACUCAAAUGAAUUGGCGGGG
rnacentral:rRNA from 1 species